GCAGUAAUAAUUUUAGGAACAACAUACAUAAUUGGCGUCCCUCUUUCAGUUGUUUUGGGAUUUGUUGUUCACUUGAGAGCAAAGGGCUUUUGGAUCGGGUUCAUCAUCGCAUUGUGCGUUCAAGAUUUGAUAUUCGGAAUGCUAUUUUUAGGCAUUGAUUGGGAGAUUCUGGCUGCAAAAGCUAAAGAGAGAGUACAUAUUUCCAUCUUGCAAAAAGAGAACGUCUACAAUAGAGAGGGUCAGACAGAUAUAGGGCAACUUAAAGGUAUAAGGAGCACGGUAACGGAAGAAGAUCAUGUUUGUCCACCCCACAUGCCUUGAUCAGAAAAUCAAGGGACGUGGACAAAGUUUCACCUACUUUGCUCCU